UACGGAGGAUCCAAGCGUUAUCCGGAUUUAUUGGGUUUAAAGGGUGCGUAGGCGGAAGAUUAAGUCGGUGGUGAAAUUUUGCAGCUCAACUGUAAAAGUGCCAUUGAUACUGGUUUUCUUGAGUGUGGAUGAAGUAGGCGGAAUUUGUGGUGUAGCGGUGAAAUGCAUAGAUAUCACGAGGAACUCCGAUUGCGCAGGCAGCUUACUAAACCAUAACUGACGCUCAGGCACGAAGGCGUGGGGAUCAAACAGGAUUAGAUACCCGU
rnacentral:rRNA from 1 species